AGAUGAGACAAAAAUGAAAAAUUUAUAUAAAGUUUAGUGUAUUCAAGUCAAAUAGAUUAGAGUGGGUUUGGAGAUUCUUAGUUUGGAAAAAAAUGUAUGAAUUUUAUGCAAUACGAGGUUACCAAAUGAAGAAAACUCAGACAUAAGAACUUACCAAAACGCUCAGAUCUAUUAUGAAAGGGAGACAUGGGAGAAGACUCCGCCAGAAGACUUCCUGGAAGUCGUCUGGAAAACUUUCUGAAAGUCGUCUGGAAGUCUUCUAGCCCAGAAGUC
rnacentral:lncRNA from 1 species